ACGCUCGACACCUACGGGAGGCAGCAGUGGGGAAUAUUGCACAAUGGGGGAAACCCGUGAUGCAGCAACGCCGCGUGAAGGAAGACGGUUUUCGGAUUGUAAACUUCUGUUCUUAGUGAAGAUAGUGACGGUAGCUAAGGAGCAAGCCACGGCUAACUACGUGCCAGUAGCCGCGGUAAUCUGAGCGGGCUGGCAAGGC
rnacentral:rRNA from 1 species